rnacentral:rRNA from 1 species
CAGUCGCCGCGGUAAUACGUAGGUGGCAAGCGUUGUCCGGAAUUAUUGGGCGUAAAGGGCUCGCAGGCGGUUUCUUAAGUCUGAUGUGAAAGCCCCCGGCUCAACCGGGGAGGGUCAUUGGAAACUGGGAAACUUGGGUGCAGAAGAGGAGAGUGGAAUUCCACGUGUAGCGGUGAAAUGCGUAGAGAUGUGGAGGAACACCAGUGGCGAAGGCGACUCUCUGGUCUGUAACUGACGCUGAGGAGCGAAAGCGUGGGGAGCGAACAGGAUUAGAUACCCGCGUAGUCCCUGUCUCUUAUAA